rnacentral:rRNA from 1 species
ACUCCUACGGGUGGCUGCAGUGGGGAAUAUUGGACAAUGGGGGCAACCCUGAUCCAGCAAUGCCGCGUGUGUGAAGAAGGCCUUAGGGUUGUAAAGCACUUUCGUUAGUGAAGAAAGGUUUAUGGCUAAUACCUAUGAAUUUGACAUUAGCUAAAGAAGAAGCACCGGCUAACUCCGUGCCAGCAGCCGCGGUAAUACGGAGGGUGCAAGCGUUAUUCGGAAUGACUGGGCGUAAAGCGCACGCAGGCGGUUAUUUAAGUCAGAUGUGAAAGCCCCGGGCUUAACCUGGGGAAUUGCAUUUGAAACUGGGUAACUAGAGUAUGUCAGAGGAAGGCGGAAUUUCCAGUGUAGCAGUGAAAUGCGUAGAGAUUGGAAGGAACACCGAUGGCGAAGGCAGCCUUCUGGGGCAAUACUGACGCUCAUGUGCGAAAGCGUGGGUAGCAAACAGGACUAGAUACCCUGGUAGUCCACGCCCUAAACGAUGUCAACUAGGUGUUGGGCACUUAAGUGCUCGGUACCGCAGCUAACGCAUUAAGUUGACCGCCUGGGGAGUACGGCCGCAAGGUUGAAACUCAAAGAAAUUGACGGGGACCCGCACAAGCGGUGGAGCAUGUGGUUUAAUUCGAUGCAACGCGAAGAACCUUACCAGGCCUUGACAUCCAGAGAACUAAGCAGAGAUGCUAUGGUGCCUUCGGGAACUCUGAGACAGGUGAUGCAUGGUUGUCGUCAGCUCGU